CAAAGCAUCAGCAGGUUUCUCCAGUUCCAUUAUCAUGAACACAUUCCAAAUGGCAAGUCAUAAACCAAGUCUGGCUGUCAACUUAAGAAACAUGGACAAUGAACAUUAACGCAAUAAAAGAAACUUCAAAUUUGAAACUUGAAUCGUCCAAACUUCUAUGAUAAGGCCGAUACAUAGACUGAUCAGAACGACUAAUACCACAAAACUAGCAACUCUGCCCUUACAAGUAGGCUACAAAAUUGUGUCUAAAUAAUGCCAAUCUUGUUAGCAACAUCCAAUGCAUCAUAAUCCGGGGUCAA
rnacentral:lncRNA from 1 species